rnacentral:rRNA from 1 species
UACAGAGGGUGCUAGCGUUGUUCGGAAUUAUUGGGCGUAAAGGGCGCGUAGGCGCCCUGUGUGUCGGGUGUGAAAGCCCACCUCUUAAAGGUGGAAUUGCAUUCGAAACUACAGGGCUGGAGUGUCGGAGAGGAUGGCGGAAUUCCUGGUGUAGAGGUGAAAUUCGUAGAUAUCAGGAGGAACACCGGUGGCGAAGGCGGCCAUCUGGACGACAACUGACGCUGAGGCGCGAAAGCGUGGGAUCAACAGGAUUAAGAUACCCUGGUACAGCUCCGAGUCAGC